CGACGGUCGACGACGACAUCAGUGUGCACAGUCUGACCGGUCUGCAGCGGCUCUUCUCCGGUGGCCUGGGGCCGGACGGUGGACCGGCCAUGUCCACCGCCGAGCAGGGUGCCGUGCCCAAGGAGAGGACGCACCAUCGUUCGCGCACCUUCGCUGUGUCGUCUCGCUCGGAGCUGAGCCGCGGCGAGCGGCGCCACGGCGCCCACUGGGACGGCCACGGCGGCCGCGCCCGCGACGGCCACAGAGG